rnacentral:tRNA from 1 species
GCAUUGGUGGUCUAGUGGUAUGAUGUCCCCCUGCCACGGUGGCGACCCGGGUUCGAUUCCCGGCCAAUGCA